CAGUAGCCGCGGUAAUACGAAGGGGGCUAGCGUUGCUCGGAAUCACUGGGCGUAAAGGGUGCGUAGGCGGGUCUUUAAGUCAGAGGUGAAAUCCUGGAGCUCAACUCCAGAACUGCCUUUGAUACUGAGGAUCUUGAGUUCGGGAGAGGUGAGUGGAACUGCGAGUGUAGAGGUGAAAUUCGUAGAUAUUCGCAAGAACACCAGUGGCGAAGGCGGCUCACUGGCCCGAUACUGACGCUGAGGCACGAAAGCGUGGGGAGCGAACAGGAUUAGAUACCCCCGUAGUCCCUGUCUCUUAUAC
rnacentral:rRNA from 1 species